AUUGAACGCUGGCGGCAGGCCUAACACAUGCAAGUCGAGCGGCAGAAGGGAACUUGCUCCUGGAUUCAGCGGCGGACGGGUGGACAAUUCCUAAGAAUCUGCGUGUCUGCGGGGUAUAGCGGCCGAACAUGGGCGCUAAUACCCCAUAAGCGCAGACGGCGAACGGGUGAGAUCAUCGGAUCUUACGCUCUUAGGUGAGUCUAGGUCGGAUUAGCUAGUUGGUGGGGUAAAGGCCUACCAAGGCGACGAUCCGUAGCUGGUCUGAGAGGAUGAUCAGCCACACUGGAACUGAGACACGGUCCAGACUCCUACGGGAGGCAGCAGUGGGGAAUAUUGGACAAUGGGCGAAAGCCUGAUCCAGCCAUGCCGCGUGUGUGAAGAAGGUCUUCGGGUUGUAAAGCACUUUAGUUGGGAAGGAAAAGCAGUAAGUUAAUACCUUGCUGUUUUGACGGUACCAAAAGAAUAAGCACCGGCUAACUUCGUG
rnacentral:rRNA from 1 species